rnacentral:SRP_RNA from 1 species
UCAUGCUAGACGGGGAGGCAGCGGUGCCCUGUAACCUGCAAUCCGCUACAGCAGGGUUGAAUUCCACGUCUAGGCUACAUUGUGUGAGGACUGACCGCGGUAAGUGGUGUUGAAGAUUGGGUCCUACGCAAGAGGAAUCUGUGAACCUCGUCAGAUCCGGAAGGAAGCAGCGAUAAGCGGAAUCUCCUCUGUGCCGUAGAACAACCUGGUCCGAGCUAACUGCCUCGGUAACGCUUGUUCAGUGUAGUCAAAGCGUGGUGCAUGA